CGCAUCUGGUCGGCCCCGGUGAGAAGUUGGUACGUUUACUGGCUGGUUUAGGUUCACAUCCAGGAAACCCGUUUCUUAACUAAGAAUGGCUAAAAUAUUGUGGAACUUUAAAAUAAUAAUUGCCCCCCCCCAAAAGAUUUUGAGGGACAUAAGGAAACUCACUGAACACACACUAGGGAGUGAGCCCCCUGGAAUGCAGUGAUAGAAGUAAAUAUAGGAUCAGACCGCGUGUCCCGGGGUUUAUAUUUGUUGUAAAUAGGUUUAUUGACCCAGGGAUAGUGCCCAUUCAUCUCACUUGGCUCAGGUGUAAAGACAGAUAGUACCUGCCUAACCCUAGGAGGAAUUCCUGCCAUAAAUUCAGACAUCUGCAAACUCAAGUUUCAAGUGGUUGGCAUUUUGGGGUAAAAUAUUGGGGGGGGGGGUUAAGCCCUGUGCAUGUACUAAAUGGACAUUUUGACUCAAUUUGACACAUUUGCAUUAUUGCAUGCUCAGAGAAAAAAAGUCCUUUCACCUGUGCAUACGUUUCUGGGUCAAGCAUGACCACCGGACAUAGGGCAGGGUUCUGUCCUAUGAAAUACGCCUCUGUUGGCUACCAAUUGUAUUAUGUCAUGGGUCAAAUAUGCUGCCAUCAUCUGAUUCAGUAGCUUUACCUGCUAGCUAGAGCAAACGGACUUUGGCAUCGUUGUCACCAGGUGGCCUGUGUGCCUGUAAGCUGUCACCCUCCAGCAGGGCACCUUUUGGCAAUAAUUUUUUUUUGUCAGUGCUGAUGUUUUCAGUGGAAGUUAAAUCAAAUUCAAACCAGCCCUUAUCCUCAGUAACCUCAGAUUACAGGAGAUCCCGUAAGAGAAAUGGUUCUGACCAAUGCAUUCAGAUCCACUGAGAAGAUCAGGGGAACACAGAGUGUUCUUGGUGUGCACUUCCGUUCGGGAAAGUGCUAAGAAGUGUCAGCUUUUCCUUCCAAGUAUCUUGUGAGGGUGAUGAGUGGGCCUCCUAAAAAUGGUUGUGGGAGGAAUAGGGCUCCCAGAACACACAGGCAGUGGGAGUGGGCAAAUUGAUGAAAAAGGUUCCAUAUGAUGUCACUGAACCCGAUUUUCUCAACAGACAGAAGCAUCAGAUAUAAUCAGGCUUGUACUAAAUAUAUUUACUCAUAAUUAAGCUCUCCCAAAGUUCAGUGUGGUUCACGUUCUAGUAAGCAUACGUAAGAUUGCAGCGUCAGCAGCACAAGUAUACGUGCAAAGGUCAUUUUGGUGAUAGCAAAUGAAGCCCACUCAGCAAACUGGUCUUGAAUGACGCUUAGGUAACUCCUGUUCUUGCUGGAUAAGGUCCACUACCUGCACCUCACAUGAUGUUUGUUUCAUUUUGCAGGUGUAACUGGGGACAGCGUGGCAAUAGUGGUCUCUGAUUUCAAAACUAGAGAUUCCUAGCUGGAGGCCCUAUGGGACAUUUGGGAUUUUAGGUUGCUCCGCCUCCCAUCUUGCAAUAGCUUCUGAUGCCUUUCCAGAUUUCUCUCCCAAGGCCAUAAAAAUGUUUCAUAUAGCAAAUCGGAAUCAAAACAGGCUGGCUUGUAGGUAACAAAACAAGCUCCCUUGCCUCAAAGCUGAGAAGGCCCAUGUGCCCAAAGUGCAGGCUCCAAAGUCUUGCCAUGCAGUGGCCUAAGUGAGGGAAGUGGAGAGAGACUGAACUUCUUGCUGGAGCCCCUUCAGCUUGUUGG
rnacentral:lncRNA from 1 species